CGGGCUAUGGGCUUCCCCCACCUACACGCGGUUCUGUUCCUACAAGGCUCUUCAACACAGUUGACACUGCUGAGAAACGGAGUGACAGCAGGAUGGCAAUGUUAAAGUGCAGGAACAGCGGGGUGCCAUGUCCUCCACUGACCUGGGAGCUUCCUGCGCAGAGUGUGUUCCCUCAACCACUGGGACUGAGACUGGAACCAUGUGACUGGCUAUUUGGGAUUCAGCCACCUUCACCACCACACCAUUGGCUGGCCCCAAGAAGCUCCUGACUAAAACCACUGUAACUCUUCUUUGAGGUUCAGGCUAGAGGGCAAUGGCUGGUAAAGAAUGGCAGAGAGUAAACUGGGAAUGGAACAAACUUUGUAGAUGCAACCAUGGAAAUAAGAGUUUGGGUGCUUCUGUUGAUCCAAUUUUACAGGGUUUCAUAUUGGAGGUGUUUGUGGCAGUAGCCUUGCAGAAGGCAGCCAGGACUGCCACUUACUGAGAAACCUGCACUCUGACUCUGUUGGAGAUUGCAUCUCCCUGAGCUGCUUCAGCGUCAGCCAGUCACUCUGACAGAGGAAGUGUAGUCCUCCACAUCACAGGUGGGCUCCAGGUAACACUCUACCAG